rnacentral:lncRNA from 1 species
CAACGUGGGACUUGCAGCAUAUUUCCGUCCUAGGCUCAUGAAUGUGCUGGAGAGGAAAAAGGAUCUGCAGGCCCAUGCAGCAUCAAUCAGCCAAACACGGUGCAGAUGAAAUUGUGAGGUAGAGUCACGUCUGAUGAGGUGUCUCCAACUAUUGGGAACAUUGGGAGCAAUGAACACUGGAAAAUGGAAGAAGGCUGUAUUACCUCAACUACACAGGGAGAGAGAGAGAUGGAUAGAGAGGGCACACUAACCCAGUUAAUGGAUAGCAAUCUGAUAAAAGAAAUGCUAAGGUCAGUCUUCCACAAUUCCUGCUUUUCCCAGAGUGGAU